CUGAGAAAAUUCUGGAGGAAACAGUCCUAGAAGAAGAUAUCCCCACAAGUGAUCAUGAAAUGCAAACUAUGGCAGAAUUCGAUGCUACAGUGGGUGAAGCUUCUGAAGAUGAAUCUCCUUCUCCUACAGGAUUAGAUGCUGCAGCUCAGGGUGAUGAUACUGACAUGGAAGCUGGGGUCGAAGACGAUCAUGAAAACGAAGCUGCCAAAGAUGGGGGUAACCAGUCGAAACACGCAAAGGCUGAGCAAAUUUUAGAGCGAAACACUCCACCUGCUCCUGCCCAGACCCAAGGGAGUGGCAAAUCAACUGGUUCGACUAGUUUCUCUCACGAGGAGCUUGAAAAUCUCAAAGUGCAGAGACCUUUAGAGUAUCUGAAGGCCAUGCUUAGCGCCCGUUUUAAUUUCCAGGAUUCUUCGCAGAGCAGUUCGACCACAUCUGGGGCAACUUCUGAAGCACCAUCACUUGGCAACAUCUUGACCAAAAUUAAAACGAAAAUCCUUGAUGUUGAUUUGUUCAAAAUUUUGGAAGAGAACUCUCUUGCUCACCUUGAACUUAAGAAAAUUUUAAAGCAGGUGAAUGUCUUGGAAGCUUCUGCCGAGGUUGGAAGUUUUGUGAUGGAGCUGAUGACCCUUAUUGACUUGGCCACUGCAGAUCUUCAUCGUCAAAGAGAUCUUACCAAUCAAAUCUCCUCAAAGUCUGAAACUCAAACUACUGAAUGGGAUGCUGUUUCGACUUCGACUGACAAAGUUUCAAAGUUGCAAAAGCUUUCUGAAACUUAUGUCAAAGAGGUUGCUGCUUGUGAUGACAAUAUCCAAAAAUGGGAGAAACAGAUAGCAACACUUCAAGAAAAGAUCUCUCAAGAGAAAAAACGUAAGGCAUCCAUACAGCAACCCAAGCAGAGCGAGAUUGACGAAGAAUUGAGAUUGGGUAUUCGACAUGCUGAGAAGGCCCAGCAACUUAGUCAAGAGAUUGAGACUCUUUCUACUCACAAAAGUCUUUGUGAUCAUCGACUCCAGUUUCAGAGGCAGAAAUUCGCCACUUUGAAGGAAACUUUUGCCAGUAUUAAUUUGUAGUCGAAUUGAUUUAACAAUUCUCAGCCCUUUGAGGCUUUUUGUAAUGACUUUAAUGCCAUUUUUAUUUGGCAAAUCUUAUCACAAUUAUGUUUGCAAUUAUUCUAUCAUUAUUUUUACUUCCUACAAUAUUGGCUUAUAUUUUUUCAAAUACUUGCCAUUUAUCUUUAGGAUUCUCUCAUCCUUCCCUAUUUCUUCAAUCUCAUACGCGCCAUUUGAAAAUAUUUUCAAAAUCUGGAAAGGUCCUUCCCACUUAGGAGACCAUUUUCCCAUUAACUUAUCUUUUCGAUCCAUAGGAAGGAUUACUUUCCAAACGAGAUCACCAAUUAAGAAGGUCUUGAAUUUUACUCUCUUAUUGUAAGACUUUUCGACUCUUUCUUUUUGUCUUCUUAUUAGAUCUAGCGCACGUAGUCUUUCUUCGUCCAGAUCAACUAAUUCGUCCAUCAUCAUACUCCAAUAUAUAUCUGAUGGGAUUUCAUGAUGCCUUUGCACUCUAACUGACUGCAAAUAUAUUUCGACUGGUAAAACUGCAUCAUGUCCGUAAGUCAACUUAAAUGGAGUCGAAUUCGUUGCUUCUUUAGGAGACGUUCGACAAGCCCACAAGACUUGAUCUAAAGUCUUAUGCCAGUUUCUAGGUUUUUUCCCUACAUGCUUCUUGAUCAAAUUUAUCACUACCUUGUUGGCUGCUUCAACCUGCCCAUUGGCUUGAGCAUAGUAAGGUGUCGAAGUAAGGAGUUUAAGACCUGUUUCUUGUGCAAAUUUCUGCAUGUUUUUACCAGUGAACACAGAUCCUUGAUCUGUUGUUAUUGUCUCAGGUAUCCCAAAUCUGUAAAUUAUGUAUUUUUGGAUAAAGUCUAUGACUGCUUCUUGAUCCACAUUUACCAAUGAUAUAGCUUCAAUCCAUUUAGUGAAAUAGUCUAUCCCAACCAAAAUGUACCUUUGUCCUUUUGAAGAGGCUGGUCGAAUUUCCCCAAUCAAGUCUAAAGCCCAUCCUCUAAAUGGCCAAGGCUUUAUAAUUGAAUGCAGCUCACUUGCAGGAACAUGAGGUAUGCCCGCAUGUACUUGACACUCCUGACAUCCUUUUGCAAAUUCGACACAAUCUUUCAGCAUUGUUGGCCAAUACAUUCCUUGUCGAAAUAAUAACCACUUCAUUUUGUGACCUGCUUGGUGUGCGCCACACGCUCCACUGUGUACAUUCGACAAGGCUAUGUAGGCUUCGUCUUCACCUAAGCAUUUCAACAAGACUCCUUCUGCAGUCUUUUUGAACAAUUCAUUUCCCAAAAGUACAUAACUCAAAGCUCUGUAUUUUAUCUUUCUUUCUGCUUUCUGAUUUGGGUCUUGUAGAUAAUUCUUGAUAGGCUUUCUCCAGUCUGUAAUUCCUGAAUCAUCUAUGUUGAAUAUCUCAAAGUUUUCUUCGUCACCGUAUCCUAAUCUUAUUGACUCUAGAUCUGAUGGGGACAACUUGGUGGAUACGACUCUUCCUCUGACUUCAAUGGCUUCUUCUAACUUUUCCUUCGACACUUUAUAUCCAGAUGCUAGUUGAGCAAGAUCGUUCGCUUCUUGAUUCUCCAACCUGGGAAUGUGUCUGAAGACCACAUUGUCGAACUCCUUGAGAAGUCUAUUGGCUAUUACAAAGUACAUGAUUAAAUUUUCUUUCACGCAUUUAUACUCUUUAGUCAACUGCUUUAUCACCAGUUCGGAGUCGCCCAUUAUUUCGACUCUUGUUGCCCCCAAUUUCAACAAGAUUUCAAGUCCAGCGAUCAAAGCUUCAUAUUCUGCUUCAUUAUUUGAACACAGACUUUCAACUUUGUACUUGAAUUUUGUUGGAAUUCUGUCAGGAGAAAUAAUCAACAUCCCAACGCCAGUUCCAUUUUUAUGACUGGAACCGUCGAAAUACAGUUUCCAAGGUUCUAAUUUGACAUAUUCCACAUCUUCGUUUAUAGAGUGGUCGGCUAUGAAAUCAGCGACCACUUGUCCUUUCACAGCUUUUAAAGGCAGAUAUUUCAAGGAGUAUUCCGUUAAUGCUAAAGCCCAUUUUCCAAUUCGACUAUGUAAAAUAGAUUUAGAUAACAUAUACUUUAUUACGUCGAAAUGGGAGGAAAUAUAUACAUCAACAGGUUUUAUGUAAUGCUUCAAUUUCAUACAAGAGAAGUAUACACAUAGACAUAGCUUUUCUAUAAUACUAUAUCUAGUUUCAGCAUCGUUCAGGACUCUACUGAGAUAAUAAAUGGCUCUUUCGACGCCAUUCUCAUCUUCUUGACACAACAUACUUCCUAAUGUUUUGUCUGAUGCCAAAAUGUACAAUCUCAUACUUCUUUUUCUGCAAGGAGACAUCAGGAUUGGGGGACUAGCCAGGUAUUCCUUGAUUUUGUCAAAGGCCGCUUGUUGUUCUUGCCCCCAUGCGAAGUCUUCCUUCUUUAGUCGAAGUAGAGGAGAGAAAGCUUGUGUCUUCCCACUGAGAUUGGAGAUGAAUCUUCUGAGAAAGUUGAUUUUCCCUAGCAGAGACUGCAACCCCUUUUUGGUUGAUGGCGCUUUCGCNNNNNNNNNNNNNNNNNNNNNNNNNNNNNNNNNNNNNNNNNNNNNNNNNNNNNNNNNNNNNNNNNNNNNNNNNNNNNNNNNNNNNNNNNNNNNNNNNNNNNNNNNNNNNNNNNNNNNNNNNNNNNNNNNNNNNNNNNNNNNNNNNNNNNNNNNNNNNNNNNNNNNNNNNNNNNNNNNNNNNNNNNNNNNNNNNNNNNNNNNNNNNNNNNNNNNNNNNNNNNNNNNNNNNNNNNNNNNNNNNNNNNNNNNNNNNNNNNNNNNNNNNNNNNNNNNNNNNNNNNNNNNNNNNNNNNNNNNNNNNNNNNNNNNNNNNNNNNNNNNNNNNNNNNNNNNNNNNNNNNNNNNNNNNNNNNNNNNNNNNNNNNNNNNNNNNNNNNNNNNNNNNNNNNNNNNNNNNNNNNNNNNNNNNNNNNNNNNNNNNNNNNNNNNNNNNNNNNNNNNNNNNNNNNNNNNNNNNNNNNNNNNNNNNNNNNNNNNNNNNNNNNNNNNNNNNNNNNNNNNNNNNNNNNNNNNNNNNNNNNNNNNNNNNNNNNNNNNNNNNNNNNNNNNNNNNNNNNNNNNNNNNNNNNNNNNNNNNNNNNNNNNNNNCGUCUUCGACCUCCAUAACUCUAUCAUAGUCUCUAGGGAGAACAGAGACCACGUUGCAGAUCACAUUGAAGGAUGCUUCUGAGUCAAAUUCGAAGUUGUCAGUUAUUUCGUCAUCUUCCUGCAUCUUCUCUUUCGACGUCACGGGUUCGACAAUGCUGCCAGGAUUGAUCUGGAGGGAGGCCUCUUUUCUUCUCCUUAUCUGACGAUUGUUACUAGACUCCGCUUUAUCUUUGCUGUCAGUGUCUUUUUCAUUCACGCUCUUUUCUGCAGCCUCUUUUUCUGCCCUCUUCUGUCUCUGGAAUAUCCUCCAUUGGGAUCUGGACAUGGGGUUUUUGCCUUUGUAAUUCUCUGAAGGAUAUGGUCUUGGCUUGUGCUUUUCCAUUUCCUUCUUGCCUUCCAUCGAAGCGCCUCUCUGAACCUCAAACUUUCCCCAUUUUUUCUGCCCCUGGGCAUCUCUAAUGGGUUGAACCCAUUUGUCAUCCGUUGCUUUGCCAGAUGGUUUAUAGGUGUUCUGGCGUCUUUCUCCAUGCCUCCACUGGUGGUGAUCACUUCUCCUUGGGUCAUAUCUUACUGUUUCCCAAUUCUCUUUCCUCUUGGCUUUAUCCAUUGCCUCCAGGUUGGUUGCUGCCUUCCUGUCAAAAAUCGCACUACAGCGUGGGUACAUCAUUACUUCGGUUUUCAUCCUUUGGCACCUCUUGAUGAAUUCUAUUAGAUUUUCCUCCUCUUUAGGAUACGCCAGCCUCUGGUGCUCCUUUCGACGAUGAUCUCGCCCACUUCGGCCUGGUCCCUCUGAAAUAUUUCCACCAUGUUUACCCUAACAUUUCGUUCGUCAGCGAUGCUUAAUUCGUUCAUCUUUCUAAUGAGUCUCUCCUCUUCGCCUUCGACGCCUUCUGGUGUUUGGUCGAACUCUUUCUCUGGGCAGCAACACCAAGAUAUGUUCUUGGGACCAUGUUUGCAACAAUAUUUGUUCCAAUUCCUUUUGGGGUCUUCCAUCACCCUACGCAGAAUUCCACUGACCACGGGCUUCAAAGGACCAUUAACAGCUUCCGCUUUGAUUUUUGUGAGUUCUUCACUGAAAGGCCCCAUAGUGUUGACGCAGUUUGCGACAUCACUUGUCCUUGUUUGAUCAAGAUCAAGGCCUUCAGUAGCCUUGUUUUCAAUAAUGAGGUCUUCAGUAACCUUCUUUUUCGUAAUAGGGGAAUGCUCAAUUGCCUCAACUGUUUCUUCAUUUUUGACUGAAGAAACAUCUCCCCAACCGCUUGGUUGGAUUGUGUUGAUGUCGAUCUGAGAGCUUGCCGGCGCAUUGUACUUCACAAGAUAAUCAUACUUCCCACUUGGCUGUCCCAAGCGGUCCCAAUUUCCCUCUUGUCGAAACUUCGCAUCUUCGACGGUAUCGUCACCGUCCCUUUUGUCGAAACCUUUAGUAGUUUCCAUCCUUUUCUGGUUGUCGAAGCCUUUCAGUAACUUUCAACUUCGUUCUGGUUUGUGAGAUUCAUAGUAAUCUCAACCAUGUUGAUGUUUGUGUCGAAACUUCCAGGGGCCUCCACCCUUUCAAUUGCAUUAGGAGCAAACUUCGAUUCCCACCAUGUUCACGAUGGAUGGUUCAGCGUAGUGGGCUUUCGACUGGCUGCAUGGGAUUCGAAUCGAUCCUCAUCUGUGUUUCGGCUUGUCACCAAAACUUUAGCCUUCCGUCACGGAUAGCAUUUGAACGAGAUCCAUGAAAAGGAACAACGAGACGUUUUAUGGCCUUAGAAAUUAUGUAUUUACAAAACCUCUCUUUUUCUGUUGUUCCAUAGGCGCGUUCUUAGCGCCUGGAGGUUUUUUAAAUUGACCAUCUUUAACCAACAGAUCGAAAUUCGUUCGCAUUUUGUGAUGUCGAACGUAUAAGUCCUUUUGGGGAACUUAUCGUUGGUUUCGACUGGGUUUCUGUUCCGACGGAGUUAGCACUUUUGCACGAAUAAGGUGGGCCUUGCUUCAGUUCUGCUAUGUCAAUCUCUUGUUCGUCGAAGUUUAUUUGGUUCGUUUCGUCGUACUCAUCAUUCUUGCGCGAACCCCUACGUAGGCCACCCUUUCUUUUUAUUCUUUAUUUGCUCUGAAUUUUUCGUCCUUAACCUUUCGACCUGUCUCACUCUAUCUGCUAAUUUGUGCCAUAUCCCUCAGAUACUGGGUAUCUAGUUUCUUCCUUAUAGAAUAAUCUAGUCCCCCUGCUGGCCAUUUCGACCAACUCAUGUUCUGGGCACCGGGUGAAACAUCUAGCCUUUAGCAAUCUGAACCUAUUUAAAAUAAUCAUCUAUUGGUUCUGAGUGUUUUUCUCUUAACACUGGCUAAUUCUUUCAGACUUAUUUUUGUUUGUCCCAUGUAGAAUUGUCCACGUAUAUUACUGAGUUUGCAGGCAAAAGAUGUAAACCAAGUAAACGCGUUUUUUGUUUAAGAACUAGGGAAUAUUUUAUUUUCAAAUUUUCAUUACGGGCUAUUUCCCCUGCUUCGAUCAGAUAACGUGCUACGUGUUCUAUUGUGGACUCGCUAGUAUCCCUGAGAACUUUUGUAACUUAGGAACUUUCCACCUUGGUGGCAGUUCUUCUUGUAGAAUAUAUUCUGACAGUGGGGAAGCAUAACUAGGCUUUGUAAUCCCAUGUUCAUCCCAUUCUGUGCCAUUACCGUUUCGACCAUGGCGCUAAAUUAUUUUCGAACAGGAGGGUUAUUUAUACCGGAUCCGCUGUUGCAACACAGCAUCCGCGUCCUGGCUCUGGAUUACUAUCCUUCUAGGUUCUUGUGAAAUAGGGACUUCGACACGAGGCUGUUCGACUACAUCCUCUUGGUUUCUGACGUUUGUUGAGGAUUGUCUAAAGGCAUUUGGUUUAUCGUAGCUUCUUCCUGGACCGCCUACCACUGGGUUCUGAACCAUUGUUCUCUGUGUUGAGUUUGAGGGACCCCGAAAAAGUCAGCAAUGCGCGUCAUCUGCGCUGCCAACAAUUGGUUUGUUUGGGUGGUGUUUUGAAUUAGAGGAUUAAACACCGCUCCCAUUUGUUGUGUCAACAUUUGGACCAUAUCAUGAUUACUCUCGUCCAUCUGUUGUCUAAUCACCUGCGCCGAAUUAUUUGUUAUCGGCGGCAUGUAAAGUGGUUGUUGAUUUAGUCUACUCAUGUUUCCGCCAUAUCCUGACCCUUCUAAUGGUGAAGACAUAUUGGCCAUAGAAUCAGAAUACACUACCGGGGAAUUGUGUAGAUUUGCCAUUACUGAAGUUGGCAUUCCAAAUGGUUGUUCCCUACCAGGAAGAGGCAUGGUGAAAUUCGUCACAAAAGGCCUAGAAGUGUUUCCCAUAGGAGGGGGUGUCCCAACAGGCAUUUGUUGCGCCCUAACGGACGAACUAGGCGCAUUUUGCAAAAUUGAAACCGCUGGUAUUGACCCUGUUGACGAAGGCAUAGCCUCUGACACAGGGACUGAUCCUACAUUGCCUCUCGUCGAAAGGAUAGGGUUGGAUACUGGUAUGGCUUCACUUGGAUUAGGAUUAUUUGGAUUAUUUGGCUGAUUUGCCAUUUUCCUUACUCUUGUUCUUUUAGGUAUUUCUACGUCGGAUACGGCUAAUUUUCCGCUUCUCAGUCUCAUACAACGAAAAAAAAAACUUUGACUAACGAUUAUCUAAGUUUUAGAUUUCUGCACUGUCCCACUAGGCGUGCCAAUUUGUUCGCUGUGAAUUUUGGCGAACAACCUCUGGUUUACCAAAACUUGUAGAACUGGGUUACUUGCAGGAUCAACCACACAAAUCCUAGGACAUGUGCAGAUCUAAAUGACUUUGAAGAUAUCUAGAACAACUUUCAUAUCUUUCAUUUUGGUUCUCAAAAUAUUUUAUGUCGAAAGAUGUUGAUUAAACGUUCAAACAGAUGUAAAUUUGACAAGAUAAGAUGAAUGGCAGAAAAUAACUAACGAAAUAUAAAGUGUCGAACAGAAAGUGCAGAAAGAUAAUUGACUGGAAAACGUAAAAGGAAUUUGUACAGAACUUUAAACUUUAUAAAAUAAACUUUGAAGGAGUUGGUGUUUGUUUACACAUACAUGUUCCAAAUAUGACUCUUUUCUCUCACACGGGUACUUUGAGUAUUAUCAGGAAUUUUGUACAAGUAAAUUUUCACACCUUUUUUCGAUAACAACUACCCUAUUUAUAUACAAAUAACAUAACUGUUACUAACGACCAAAUCCUAAAACUGUGACAAAUGGCUUUCUUCUUUUCGCCAGAUGCUUCCACGCGUAUACUAACGACCAAAUCCUAAAACUGUGACAAAUGGCUUUCUUCUUUUCGCCAGAUGCUUCCACGCGUCUUCUGCCAAACGUCACAACUCUUCUGAAUUUGAAUAUUUACACUUUACGUCGAAAUGACAUCUCUCUCCAGACUUUGUCGAAUUGUCGAAAUACUACAACAUCCUCCAUGUCUGUCAAAGGUGCCUUUCCAUCUGCAUAGAUCUUGUCGAAAUGUCGAAGCUUCAAUUUUGUCGAAGUGUCGAACAACACUUAUCAACUAAAACCGUUUAUCCCAUGUCAUCAUUUUUCGAAAGAACCAUUCUGCAUACCAAAUCUCAUGGCGUCGAAAACGCAUGUAUACACUUACUCGCUUAAUAUUAUUCAUCAUUUACUUUAUUGCCUUGUGUUUUUGCAUGUUCUAUUAUACUGGAUAUCUAUAUAUGUUGUUUUUGGGUUGGGGUUGAUACUACAUGAGUGAAGCUCUAUACCCGAGCUUAGUAUACACACAUGAUAGAUUCGUGGAUAGUCAUGUACAAUUGCGUUUCACGCGUUGGAUUGUCUCGAGAGCCAAAACCAGACUAGAUUCACUUGGAAGUACUUUUGUCCUGUGAGAAUUCACUACGGCAUGGUAUUUUCAUUUCGAGUCGAUGACUCUGGGAGACCUUCUAGGGACCACCUUGGAGGAUAGUCCAUACCUGUGGGGGGGAUAUAUGUUUUUUUAUAGGAAACCAUAGACUCUACAUACCUUGGUUCUCAUAUUGUGUUGAACCUUUGAACUUACAACAAACAGCAUAUACAGAUUAUUCAGAAUGUAUCAGAACUUUGAAUCCGUGUGAUCUAUAUCAUACCAUUAUCCAUUAUCAUUCAUCAUGACAAUUUUUUUACAUAUGCCUUUUUUUCAUGAAUCCAAGAGCCCAGUUUAUUGACUAAGCAUCCAAGACAAAGCAUGACUUCCGAAAGAAAGACCAUUCACAGUUAAAAGCUCGUGGAGCCAUAGUUGAAUGUUUUGAGAGGAUUGGGGGCACGUCUAGUUCUUGGGAACAGAGAUGAAUUCAAGAACUCUUAUGGCAACCUCCUAGGAAUUUUGAAUACUGAAGUCAGUACCAAGGUUGUGCACACCCUUGUGCAAUUCUAUGACCCUCUGCUGAGAUAUUUUACCUUUCAGGACUAUUAGUUAACACCUACUUUGGAGGAGUACUCUCAUAUUUUGGGUAUUGGGAUUAAGAAUCAAGUUCUUUAUGUCUGCACUAAGGAGCUCCCUAAGUACCAUAUCCUCGUUGAAACCCUUCACAUAGGGAAGAAGGAAGUGGAGUUGAACCUAGAGCUUAAAGGUGGAAUCCAUGGUUUUACCUCAAAGUUUCUUGUGGAUAAGGAUAUUACCUUCACCGAUGCAGAGAGUUGGACGGAUUUCAAUUCCAUUCCAGGUCUACUUAUCUAUGGCGUAUUGUUUCCAAAUAUGGAAGAAUUUAUGGACUUCGCUACUAUCCAUAUCUUCCUAACUCAGAAUCUUGUUUCCAUUAAUCUUGCUGACACUUACUACUUCAUUCAUGUAAGGACUCAGAAGAAGAAGGGAACCAUCAUUUUCUAUAUCCCUUUGUUGUAUAGAUGGUUUAUUUUGCAUCUACCUAGCAAGGGCUCUUUCUUGGAGAACAAAGACAAUCUGAAGUGGUCCCAAAGGAUCAUGUCCUUAAACACCGAAGAUAUUUCCUGGUACUCUAGAGUUUAUGAUAAUGUCAAACUCAUCCUUAAUUGUGGUGACUUCCCUAAUGUACCUCUUCUUGGUACAAAAGGAGGAAUCAACUACAACCUGAGAUUGGCAUUACAAAGUUGGAAUACUCCAUGGUAGACAAGCCUGAUUCCAAGACUGUAGAAGGUUUAAUUUUACAUGAAGGGGUUAAUAACCUGUAGCUACUUAAGAAGAUUAUCAAGGCUUGAGGAGAGAUAUAUCCUCAAAGAAGAGAAGAAAUGGGUAAGAAGAGCUGCAUAGCCAGGGAAGCUUAUACCAAAUGGGUGAAAGACAGAGUCAAAGAGAUAUUGCUGCCAUUUCUAUCAGAACAAUCUAUCAGCAUCAAGCCUCAUGAACCUAUGAUUAAUCAUAUCUCUAAGGUCUAUGAGCUGAAGGGAAUUAUCAUGGCACUAGAGAAAGAGAAUGCGGAUCUCAAAUCUAGUCUUGGUAAGAUGUCAUUGGAUAAGGAGACCUUAAAGUUCAACCUGAAUCAGAAGAGAGAUAGAACACUUCAAGCAGAAAAUGGGGUGCAAGCUAAGUUGCACAAAAGAAGAAAAGUGGAUGAAGCACUAAAAGGAACUUGUGCUAGUUUGUUAGCAAAAAAGAAUAAGCUAGAAGAAAUUCAAUAUUAGGCUUGUAAAGUGGAUCUUAACUACAAAAAGAAAAUCAAGAAACUUCAAGACUAACUGGAAGCUUGCAAGAAAGGGUUGAAAGAUGAACAAAGUCGUGUCAAACAACUAGAGGUUACUCUUCAUCAGUGCUAGAGUGAGUUAGAUAAGAGGUUUGAAGAGAUUCGCGGGCUAAAGGAUCAAGCACACAAAAAUAUGGAGAGCACUAACCUACUCAAAUAAGAGAAUGCUAGUUGGGAAAGAUACAAUGGACACCUUCAAAGGCUCCUAGACUAGAAGGAGACAUUUUUGAGAGAUCUUCUAGAUGGACCUGAUCACACUUUGCUGCACAACCUUCUUAAGGACGCGGAAUAUUGGAGGGAAAGGCAUGCAUGCCUAACCCAAUUUGCUGAACAUGCCAUGGAAGACUUACCAGAAUUGUUGAAAGAAGCUUUUGUUGUAGUAUUUCCGCAUAACGUCCCUUGGGUUGUAUUUCAUUUCAUUUCUGUUUGUAGGGUGGUAUUUGAUAGGUUUAAAGUUGAGCUUAUUGUAGCCUGUCAGGCAGGCUCUUGAUGUGUAUUUGUACUCCACUUUCUGAUAUUGAAUAAAAGAGUCUCUCUCUUUAUGCUUUAUGUCUAUUUAUGUUGAUAAACAAAACUCAAGGAUUCCUUGGAAUUUUUUCUUUACAAAAAUGAAUAUAUAUGCACAUGUCAAAACUUUUUGCAUGCAUUUAUUUGCUUAAGCCUCCAGAGAACAAAAUGCUUACUCUCUCCAUCUUUCUAUAGCAACUACGAUGACUCGUCAUCGCUAUUAUACUCGUGCAAAAAAAUCCAAAUGCGUGGCUGAUUUUGAAAUCGACAAUGUUGUUGUUAAGGAAACCUUGGCUCAGGUCCAAGUAGAGAUGAACCUCUUCCGAGGUAAUAUGGUGACCAUUAUGGAAUACCUCCAAACUCAUUGGGCUUCUAUCUUUGCCAACCCUGCUUCCAUUUUCGUCACCAGUGUUGUUGUGGUGACCACUAUUGGUGAUGUCGUUGCCACUAUCAAAACUCAUGUGGAGACGGUGGUACCAACUACUGUGAAUCAGCCUUUGUUUACUUAUGCUUCUAAUAGGCUUGUUGUUGCCUGCCCAUGGGGAAUGCCCCCAAACUUCACUGCUCAUUUUGCUAAUGGGGGUGCCUUUAUUCCUCAUUUAGCUUUUAUCGCUCGUACUGCUGCUGGGAAUUUUGUUUUCCCAUGGGGUGUGCCUAUGGUCCAGACUCCUCAAACGAUUGAUGCUGCCAACUCUAAGAACCACCAAGGUCAGGUUUUGACAAUGAAGUAGAGUACUGAGGCCCCCGCCUCUAUUUUCAUAUUCCUUCCCAGGAAGUUUAUCUUGCAAAUCUGAAUCACUUACAAGCUGCUCUGUUUGCUUACUCUGGGGAAACUUUUGUUCUGAUACUAUCAUAUGCAUCUGCCAACCCUGCACUCAUGUACGUGCAGGCUAGGGAACCUCAGGCCCCUAAUGCUCAAGAUGGAUGGUAGUUCCUUCAUAUGAUGCACGAUGCUUCCCAAAUAGUGCUUCCCAGUUUCUCUUAUCCACUGCAGAUGUUGUUUACUCCCCAAAUUGUGCAUGCUCAGGAGUUUGCUCAAGACACCUCCCGACCAGCCAGCCAGGUCGUCGUUCCUACUGCUAGUCUGUCAGGCCGGCAGACUACCAAUUAUUGGAUGAUAGAAGAAUGGUUAUCGAAGGUUUCUAUGCCUUCGGCAUAAACGCAAGAGAUUUAUGCUUGGUUCCAAAUGUGGUACUCCCUCAUAAGUUCAAAGUACCAGAUUUACCAAUAUAUAAUGGAUUAAGUUAUCCUCGAAGCCACAUUACAAUGUAUUGCAGGAAAAUGGCAUCGUAUGUUGACAAUGAUGAUCUGCUAAUCCACUGUUUCCAAGAUAGUCUGUCAGGGGCUUCCUUGGACUAGUACAUGGUCUUAGAGCGUACAAAGAUUAGAUCCUAGAGAGAUUUAUCUGAAGCGUUCUUAAAGCAGUAUAAGUACAACCUCGAUAUGACACCGACAAGAUUGCAGCUACAUAAUCAGUCACAGAGGUCCAACAAGACUUUCAAAGAGUAUGCUCAAUUUUAGCGUGAAAUGGCUUAUAGGGUCAGAUCAACUUUGUCGGACAAUGAACUUGUUGACAUCUUCAUUGGUACGCUUCAAGGGUUGUACUUUGAGAAAAUGAUUGUCCAUUCUUCCACCAACUUCCCAGACAUUGUGACCAUUAGUGAACGUGUCGAAAAUGGGGUUAAAUCGGGAAAGAUCGUAGGUACCAUCGCUCAGCAAACCACAAAUAAGAAGUUGUAUGAGGGCUUUACAAAAAAGAAAGAAGGGGAGAUAAAUGUUUUAACGGUAAAUGUCCACACCCAAUAUCAAUUUCCUAUGGCUCCCAUGCCAUAUUAUCCAUACCCGUAUGUUUCCGCCACUCAGUAUCAACAACUUCCGCGUCAGUACCAACCAUAGAAUCGCAAUCAACAAACAACACCGAAUCAGAAUGCUUAGAAUCAAUAGAACACUUGUGACAAUAAGGGCCAAGGUCAAGGCCGAAAUAACAGGAAUAAUUAUGGUAAACAUCCUGAUUUUGAUCAGAUCCCUGUACCAUAUGCUGAAUUGGUGUCAUAUCUGAUCCAUGUAGGGGCUAUUAUGCCAAGGGAAAUCCCACCAUCCAUUCCUCCUUAUCAUCCAAGGCCUAAUUAUAAUGCCUUGUGCGCCUUCCAUGUUGGGUAUGUAGGACACUCCACUGAAGAUUGUUGGCCGCUCAAAAAUAAAAUCCAAUAGUUAAUUAACCAGAAGGUUUUGUCUUUCUCAGAAUAAAAUCCUAAUGUGAAAAGAAACCCCUUUCUUAAUCACGGUGACCCAGCAGUCAGUGUUGUAAUUGAAGAAGAGAUUGCAGAAUCCGUCAAGACAGUUGAUGGUGUGAAGACUCUGAUGUCGGUAGUGUUAAAAAAUCUUGAAAAUUUUGAGUUUCUGGUUGGUAUUCAUGAAGAUUUUGUUGUGUGUAAAAUCUGAUCUGGAUAGUUAUGGCAAUCUGAAGGGCUGUGUGCAAGAGUUGAUGAAUCAAAGGUUGAUAUAGUUCUCCAGAUCUAAAGUAGUUGAAGAGAUUGAAGUGAUUGAGCCUAUAACCAUUGUGUACAGGAAGAAGAAGAACGAAGCUCCUCCCAAGAGCAUUCAAUUGAUCCAUAUAUGUGUUCCUAGUCCAUUCUCGUAUCAGAAUAUCAAGGCAGUACCUUGGAAGUAUGAAACGACUGCAUAUGUGGGUGGAAAAGAAAUUAAAAUCUCUGACACUGAAAUUGUUAAUAUAACUAGAACGGGAGGCAUGACUCGUAGUGGUUGUGUAUUCACUCCAAAAUACACUCCUAGAGUGUCUCCAUCACCCACAGUUGUCCUGCCUAAAGAGAAGGUCCUUCUUAGUCCUCCUCUGCAGGCAGGGGCAUCUAUACCCGACAUGUUUAUCGUGACAACUGUUCCAGCAUUAACAAAGAUUAUUCCCGAUAAAGCUGCAUAAUCUAAAACUUCCAAGGGUAAGGGGCAGAUGGUUAAAGAUGAAUAGGUUGAAGGUCACAAGAAGAGUAUCUCUUUUGAGGAAGGACAAGAACUCCUCAAAUUGAUCGAGAAGAGUUUCUUCAAUAUUGUUGAUCAGUUGGGUAAGACUCCUUCCAAAAUCUCCAUUUUUUCUUUACUUCUGAGUUCUGAUGCUCACCGUAAAGCACUGUUAAAAGUCCUGAAUGAUGCUCAUGUGAUGCACGAUAUCACGGUCGAUCAAUUUGAUGACGUGUGUAAGACCCCAAUUUUGACCCUAAGAUCCCUCAUGAUAUACCAUCAUAUGCAUUGGCAUUGGGAUCACACCUUGACAUCCUCCUUCCCCCUCAUUCAUUGGGUUUGCAUUGAGAGAGAUCACCAAGCACCAUUUAAUUGUAUCAUACUUUGUAUUUUCUCAUUUUUACUAACCAAAAUACCAAAAAUAUGUCUUUGCAUAAUCUAACUCUUUUGUAGGUAGAGUACAUGCUCACCUUUGGUCUAUCAAGCUCACAUCUAGGGUUUAAGACCCUCAGUGCAAGGAGUUCAAUCAAGAAUUGGUAUACUAUGGCUCUAGGCAUCAUAUAUGGAUCCCCAUGAGAAUCACAUGUUAUUUUGAUCAAGAACUCAUCAAGAGUUUGGAAUUGUUUUGUAGUGGAAACACUAGUUCAUAUGGGUAUCUUGUGUAACUUCUUCAACAAUUGAUCAAAGAUUUCAAGGGAUACUUCAAAUUUCUUCAUAUUAUGAAUAUAUGAUUUCCCAUGAGUCCCUAAAGUUAAGAGAAUUGCAAGUUAGCAAGUUGGUUGAUGGUGGUUGACUAGAGGAAUUCAACUAAUCAAAAUUGGGGUUCCCUAGACCCUAUCUCCUACAAUAUUUGUCAUAUGAAAAUGAUUCCAAAAGAAACGUUACUGUAAGUGACAUUACAAACAACUUUCAUGUUGAGGUCUAGAGCUAGUUUUUCUUGGAAAGUCAUCUUUUAUGGUGAAAGAUUAUAGGUCAUUUUGUCUAAACCCUAAUUUGGAGGUCAACUUCCCAAGGUCAUAACUUGCUCAAUUAUUAUGAGAUGAAAGAUUUCCAAGUUUCACAAUCAAAUUCAAUAUGUCUACUUCAACUUUGAUGUUUGGAGGAAGAGCAAAUUCAACUUUUAUGAGCAUGUGAUAUGAGGAUACAUUAUAGGUCAUUUUGGACCAAUACCAUUGAACAAGUGAUUUUCCUCAACUUCAAAAAUGCAUACCUCCUUCAUAUCAAAUCCAAAUGAGGUAAAACUUAUAACCAUUUUGAAGUACUUUGAAAUAGAUACAACUUUGAUGAAGGAACUUCUCUCAUUUGAAACUCACACAAAAAGUUAGCCAAGGUGGAAUAAGUGAACAUAUGGCGUGACACUUAGAAAAAAAUUUGAUAUGUUAAAAUUUCCAAACUUCCACCUCAAAUUUCAUCAUUAUACAAGCUUCAAAUGGAUAAGUGUUCAACAUUAAAGUUGUUCCUAUUGAUCUAACCUUUCCAAAAAGUCCAAUUUCAUCCAUUUUGGACAAGAUUUGAAUGGGCUGCACAUGGCUUGAACAUUGUAUCAUCAUUUGGCAAAAUCAAACUUCAAACUUCCAUGUACAUUUGUCUUGCAUUCCAAGUUGAUUUUAGACUUGCUCACACUCAAUUAUGGAUCAAAUGGAAUGAUCUCAUGGGCAUGUACACGUCCAUGCACACAUGCAUCACUCAUUGCCAAUUUUGGAAACUCAAUUGUAAGGUGCAAAUAUCAUGUGAUUCAGCUAUAAAUAGAGGCUCAUAUGCUCAGAAUUAAGGACUCCUUCGCGCGAGCUUUGAUCCCAAACAUAAAACCCUUCCAUUUGAUAGGAUAAUCCUGACAAUUUCCUUUGGAAAUUGAGUUUGAAUCUCACUGUUUUGAGAUUCAAAACUCCAGGGAUCCAAGACCUUUUGUACAUUUUAAUCUACUUCUGCAAGCAUCCUAAGAAAUAUCAAGCACAAGCCAAAGCAAGAACAAGUGAAUCCAGACCUGCAUUGAAGGUAUUUUCCAGAAAAUUUCAUCUCUUCGAUUCUCACUCAAUUCUCCAUAAUUCUCUUGGAUCCUUGGUAGUCUGAAGUCCUAGCAAUAUAGGCAACAAGAUUGAGUUGCUUUGAGGUCAAAUUGAAGCAACUCAGAUCAUGCACCUCAAAUUUCAACUCCUUGUAUCUCUCAAUAUACUUGGAGUUGGGAUAAAUUGAGGCCAGAUUCGUGCUCAGUGCCAUUUUCACUUUAAAAUCAUGUCCUCUAUUUUUAUUUUAGUGAAGGUUAUGAUUGGACCAGUCCGGCGAGGCUCGCCUGAGAAGGAGACCGGAGAUUUGCUCUGGUGGUGAGUUAGCAAGGUCCAGAGCCACAUGAUCUGUUUGAUUUGUUCUAAUCACGAGUGUUGGUUUGAAUUACCAAGUUUGUGGCGCGCUGACUAGAGUCCACAAUGGAUUGCGCGUUUGUGGCCACUUGAUUUACCACCUCAAUUAAUGAAAUUUUUCUACAAGGUCCUUUAACCUUGUUUGACCUAUGAUAAAUCUCAUCGUCAUUUCUUUGGUGUCAAUUUAAUGCAUAUUUUAGUUGAUUUUAAUUGAAUAAAUGUCAAAUAAAUUGUGUUGAGCUUCUAUUAUUGACUUAUUGAGUUUGACUUGUGUUGUUGGGCCUUGGUCAAGGUUGAUUUUACUUUUCUAAGUUAAGAUCAUUGGAUUUAGGGGAAUGAUGAAAUGUACAUUUCAUCUCCCAAAAUGAAUGAAUGAUCUUAAUUUGGUAAAAGUCCUUGUUUUACCAAUUUGUGUUGAUUUCAUUCCCCCUCCCUCUUGAUCUCAUUACUCUUCUUUAUUCAUUCAUGUCAUGGACCUAUGAUAUCUCUAUAUCCUAAGGCUAGUUGAUUGCAAAAUCAACAUGAGUAUGGAUGAGAUUAGAUCCACCACACUUUUGCAUAUUCUUUUUGCGUGUGGUAUCUUUCGUGAGCAUAGUCCAUUAUAUUAUGUCUCUAACAUGCAUUAACACCAAACUUCUAUUGCCUGGUCUCAAAUAGUUGUGAAUUCUGCAUAAGUCCAAUUACGAUUGCUUAACAUAACGCUAAAUUUGUGACACAAAAGGCAUAGCAUUCUAGUAAGUAAGAUUGUAAGUCUCCCCUCUUUCAUGGUAUUGUAUGGAAACUUGGCCUUUUUUUCCUUCCUUUGGAAGAUGUCUUGGUUCAAGGAUCCAUGCAUGUGAAUAGUGGGUUGAGUGUUCUCCAAAGAAUGACUUAAACAAUACAAAGCAAAAGCAAUACUAACUUCUAAUCAACUAACAACUAACCUUUAAUUUCAAGCCAUUUACUUUUAUGCACUUUAAUUUCAAGCUUUAUUCAUUUGCCAUUAUUCAUACCGUUCAAUUUAUUUACUUUAAUGCCAUUUUCAAUUUUCCACUUGGGCCAUAAUUUGUGAUAUAUUGUGUUUGUAUAUACUUGUUUGUUUGUAUGGUCUUUUGACCUUAAUGUACAUAAUAAAAACAAAAACCCUAAAAGACAUUUGUGCGGACUGUUGGAUUUGAUCUGAGACAAUGGACUUAGAAUUAGGAAACACUCCCUAUGCAAAAGGACUUGUCCAAUGCCAACUUUCAUGAAACCAAGUGCUUGUGAAGUGAAUUUUCAACUGAAGCAAGUAUUGUGAUCCCAUCUGAGUUCAUCUGUUACAUGGUCUUAUUGAAGCUGUUACUUUGAACCUGUGUCUAAUGCCUACUUUUGGAAGUCAUCUGAUGCAUGGGAAAUUUUGAAGAAGAUCAUGGAGUUGCUAAGCUUGGAUGGGGCUAUCUUUAUUUGAUGCCUUGAUCUUCAUCUUUCUAUUUGUGUAUUGAUAUUGCUUGAUUCUAAAGUCCAAGGGAAAUUUGGGUUUCUAUAUGACAUUCUUGUCUAUUGGAUUGCAGCCCAUUGGUUAGAUAUUUUCAACUCUUAACUUUUAAAUUUGUGCUUAGGAUUAGUAUCUUCAUCUCUCCCCCAUUUAUUUAAUUUCAAAUCUCUCUCUACUUUCAAAAAUCUUCUUUGCUAGUGUUUGUUUUCUAAACUUAUACCAUUUUGCAAAUUAGAAACUUUGGCCUUAUGCCAUUGCAUUUUUAAAACUCUUUUCUUUGUCAAAUUUGUAAAUGAACUUAACUAUACUUGACUUAAAAUUUCAAAAGCGAAAAAGAACUAACACUCAUUCCAACCAUUUUUAGGCCUCUUGUGCCUUUGUUAAACUUAAAUUUUGUUAAAAGAAAUCCACUCACUUUGAAAUUGAUACCACAAACUACGAGGUUUUGAUCCCUCAUUUUAUGUUGGUACGUAGGCAUAAGUCUGAAGGUCUUAUCAAACACAAAAAUACAAUUAAUGAAUUAUUUUCUCAUCCCCCCACUCUAUUUAUUGCAAACAUCAUUUGGUACAAAAACACAUAUGCACACAAGAAAGGGCUCCCUAGGAGUACCUAGGACACUUUGGGUGCUAACACCUUCCCUCUGUGUAACCAACCCCCUUACCUGUAAUCUCUGGCAUUUUAUUAGUUUUGAUAGGGUGCUAACACCUUCCCUCUGUGUAACCAACCCCCUUACCUGUAAUCUCUGGCAUUUUAUUAGUUUUGAUUUGAAAAUUUCUUAUUUUUGGGUUUUGUUCGUACUUUUCCCUUUUCCCUUGGAAACGAUAAAAGCGCGAUGGCGACUCUGGUUUUAUUGACGUCUAGCUUAUCUAUAGCUUGAUGGUCAUGAAUUUACCGCCAUAGAAAUUAAGUGGCGACUCUACUGGGGAGUAGUCUCCAGUGGGUUUAGCCUACUUUUUCGUGUGUAUAUAAUUGUAUAUUUUGAUGUAUGUAUAUUUGUUUGUGUGAUAUAAUGUACUUGUUGUGCUUGGUGAUCUCUGAGUGGUGAAAUAAGUUCUAACAUGGACUUGAGUGAAAUUACGAUAAGAGGAUGGUAUAGUCAUGUUCGACUUGUGUGGAGUAGUCCUUAACAAGUUGGAUUGAGACCCAUCUACUCAGUGGAUACCCUUUUGGAGUUAUGAAUGUUACACAAGUUAUUUGUGGUUAGGCAUUACUUCCUCUGAUUUGGGGUCCGAGAAGUUGAGGACCGUAGAACAUUUAACCCAUCUUGGCCUAUUUAAGACGUAGUGCGGAGACUGUUCAAAUGUAGACUUGAUAAUAGUUGUCACGCGAUACUACACUCAGACGAGUUUCUCUUGAGAUAUUAUGGGUUGAUGAGUCAGUCAUCCUAACUUGUAAUAUCCGAUAGAUGGAAUUAAGACUCUGGGAACUUUUUAGAACAUGAUCUACAGGUUCUUAUCCUUAGUACACUCCUUUGGGAUGGUUCUUACCCAGACUCCAUGCUCGUGACUCACAACAAACCCUUUGAUUCUUGGUUGAUCCAAUCAAGUCUUGUCAAUAUCAAUGGAACUUAGGUGUUGAUAAGGCGAAAAACAUAAUCCACUAAAAUGGAUGAUUGAUCUUGACAAUGCCUUGAUUCAUCCCUUGACCUUUGUUUGGUUUCCUUGUGUGUGAUCCCUUAUUUGUGAUUGUUGCAUUCAUGCAUUCAUGCGCAUCAUAACAUUCAUCACACGAAAAAUAAUUUCAAGAAACUGAGGUCUUAUUUGUAACUAUUUUCAGACCAUGGAUUGUGGACGUAGGAACACUAAGAAGUACAGUUUUAGAAGUCCGGAUUUGAAAGAGUUAAGGAAGGUAUCAUCUUUUGUAUUAGGUCUCUUGGACUUCAAGCUACGUCAUGGGAAGCUUCUAUCUAUUUUGUGUGCUGAUGUGGUUGAAGGAAUUUUGAGUGUGUUGGUUCAGUUAUAUGACCCUCUCUACCGUUGCUUCACUUUUCCUGAUUAUCAGCUUGUGUCUACGUUGGAGGAGUAUUCCCGUCUGUUGGGAAUACUUGUUUCUGACAUAGUGCCUUUUAGUGGAUUGGAAGAGAUUCCCAGAUCUCAUCUUAUAGCUGAAGCUCUUCAUCUGAAGAAGUCUGAGAUAGAGGCUCAUUGGGUGAAGAAAGUAGGAUUAUUUGGGUUGACUUCUGAUUUCCUCAUCAAGGAAGCUACUGCCUUUGCUCAAGCCGGUAGUGUGGACGCUUUUGAAACCAUCUUUGUGCUGCUCAUCUAUGGAUUAGCUUUGUUCCCUAACAUUGACGGUUUUGUUUAUGUUAACGUCAUUAGAAUAUUCUUGAUUGGGAAUCAUGUGCCUACUCUUUUGGGUGAUAUGUACUUAUCUUUCCAUCUAAGGAAUUCUAAGGGUGGUGGAACUAUCGUCUUUGCGUUCCUCUUCUGUACAAGUGGUUUAUUUUGCACUUGUCUCAGACGCCUACUUUUGUGGAGAAUAAACAAUGUCUAAGGUGGUCUCAGAGACUUAUGUUUCUCACUAAUGAUGAUAUAGUUUGGUAUGAUUCUUCAUUGGGUAGCUUGGAGAUUAUUGACAGUUGUGGUGAAUUCUCUAAUGUACUUCUCAUUGGUACACAAGGAGGAAUCAACUAUAACUCUACUUUGGCUCGUCGUCAACUUGGAUUCCCCUUCAGAGAUAAACCUAAUAACACUUUGUUAGAAGGUCUUUUCUAUCAAGAGGGUAAAGAUCCCCAUCGUUUGAAGCAGAAUAUUAUGCAUGCUUGGCAUAAUGUGCAUAAGAAAGGAAGAUCCGAGCUUGGUCCGCGCAAUUGUGUAGCUUUGGAAGCUUACACUCUUUGGGUGAAGAAGAGAGCUUUGGAGUUGAAGAUGCCUUAUGCUUGUGAAAGACCUGUGUCUAUGGUUGUGGUUGAGCCAUUAACUCUCCCUAACCAAGAUGUAGUGGAGUUGGAAUACGCGCUCGCCAAGAUGAAGCAAGAGAAGGAUAGGUGGGAAGAUCGUUUCCAUGCUUUGAGUAGAAAGCAUGAGGAGUUGUAGCUUGAGUCUAAGGACAAAGAUGCACUUAUUGAGCUUCUUGAAGAUCGGGUAAUGAAGAGACAGAGAGAACUAGAGGGUCCAUCUUCCUCUAGUAUGUCUCAGCCUUCCAUCGCUUGGAAGAAGAUUGUUGAUCAACUUGUCCUUGAGAAGGCUCAGAUGAAGACUUCUUUUGAAUCCGAGAUUCGACGCAUUCGAAGGAAGUAAGCACCUACAGUUAGAUCUUCUAAUGUUGUUAUUAGGGAUCCUUAGAAUGACUAGUCUCCUUUUCUCUUGUAUUUUGUACUUUUGGAUUCUGAAAUUGUACUCAGUGUAAUCCUUCCAAUUAUAUAAAUAAAAGAGAUUUUUAUGGUCAAUCAAAUUGUUGCAAUCGUUUUUAUCAUAUAUAUUUGAAAAUAAUAUAGUAAGUUCCUUGGAAAAUAAAAACAAUCAAGCAUUGCAUUUCAUGCAUCAUUUGCAUACAGGUUUCUCUUCCGCCAGAUGUCUUAUUGGUAUUUCUUAUGUGCUUCAGCCAAGCUGACUCAUCGAUACAAUACUCGCGCAAAUCACUCAAGGAUCAUGGAACAUCUGGAGCAAGAGAACAGAGAUUUGAAGGACGAGAUCGCCCGCUUGACUGCCAUGAUGGAGUCAGUGUUAGCCGCUCAUAGCCAAUCUUCUCCAACACCUGCAACUCCUCCUCCUCAGAGGACUGUUAUUUCCGAGGUUGCUACCUCUAUCAUUCCUGCUACUGCUGCUCACUUUGCACCGGCCAUGUGUCGCAUCUCGAAAAAUACGAUUCCUCGCGAUGGUCGCGGAAAAAAUUAAUGUUCGAAUAGAGUUGCCAUCGAACUUAAUUUAUCCCAAUGAAGGGAUAGUAAAAUAUCGAUAAAACCUUUAGGAAAUGGAAUAAUGGUCGUCGCAACCAUAUUCGAGUUCGGGAGUGGAUUACGUAAGGGGAAGGUAUUAGCACCCCUUACGUCCGUUGUACUCAACGGGAACCUUUAAACCUUUAGGAAAUGGAAUAAUGGUCGUCGCAACCAUAUUCGAGUUCGGGAGUGGAUUACGUAAGGGGAAGGUAUUAGCACCCCUUACGUCCGUUGUACUCAACGGGAACCUUUUAGUUCUAAUGUGCGUUUCAUGUGUUAAUUUAUGUUUGUUUGUUAUUUUUGGGUUAUACAAUUGUAAAAAAUAGAAAUGGACGAGAACCUCAGAAAGGGAAAGGGGAGGUUUUUUAUUAGUGUGCUCGCGAAGGUACAACAAUCUCCUACCUACGUAUCCUUAUGGUAUAAUAAGGAAAUCAGAGCAUUCGUAGUUCGGGGAACUACGAUUGGUUGGUGUUUUUUAAUGAACAACUGUUUAGACUGCGUUUCUAAAGGCUAAACGUUGGCUUGUCUAGUCUCGGCGGAGGCUUAAGCACUAGUUUGCUGUGCGCAUUAGAAAGGAUUAACAAUGUUCUUUCUGAAAAUAGUUUUGGUCACAUGGGGGUGACAAGUUGGACUAAUAUGUUGGAUGUUUUGAUUGGUUGAGAUGUUUUUGGUUGAAUGACGAUUACUCUGAUAGUUGAGUAAGACAACUCGUAUCCUAACAGUCGGGAAAGGGAAUAGAAGACUCUAGACCACUUUCUUUUUCAUCCUUAAUUAUAGAAAGGAUUUGAUAAUAAUUAGGGUGUUUUGAGUGGAUGACGAAUACUCGGAUAAUCGAGUAAGACAACUCGUAUCCUAAUAAUCGGGAAAGGGAAUAGAAGACUCUAGACCGCUUUCUGUUUCAUUCUUAAUUAUAAAAAGGAUUUGAUAAUUGUAAGACCCCAAUUUUGACCCUAAGAUCCCUCAUGGCAUCAUUACAUUGCAUUUACAUUGCCUCAAGGAUCAUGAGCGUCUUGGUUCCCUUUGCCUUUGGGUGGGAUCUCUUGAGAUGUGGUUUGAGAUCACCAAGCAUGCUUGAAUUGUAUAUUAUUGCUUUCCUCAUUUCUUUUAUUAACUCAAAAGCACAAAAAUAUGUCACUAACAUCUUUUAUUUGUAGCUUGAGCAGUCACAAGGUCUAAAGCUUCUAGGAGAUCCUUUGUGCAAUGAUAUGGUCAAGAGAAGAUGAAAGCAAGCAUGGUAAUGGUUCCGAAAGCUCUCAUCCAUCAAAUAUGCCUCCCAAGUAUCUCAAUUCAUCAUUUUGAUCAAAGCAAGUCAAAGGGUUUGAGGUUUGUUUCCCAAGGAAACCUUAAUUCAUAUAUUCAUCAACUGUGCCUUGCUCUUGAAGAAACCUCAACCCAUGGUCAAAAAAAAAUCAAGGGAAGUUCUUUAAUUCAUCAUUUCAUGCAUUUUUGAACUUAUUUGAGUGUCCUCAAUCAUAAGUUCAUCAAGAUAUAAGUUUUGGACUUGAGAAGUUGAUCAGUCAAUUCAUCUGACCAUUUUGAAAUGCAUUGAGACCUAACUUUUUAUGUGUUAGUCCAAUGGAGAUGACCCCAAGAGAAAUAUUGUUAUUAAGGACAAUAUGAACAACUUUCAUGUUCAUCAAAAUUUAAUUUGAAGCUUGGAAGGUCAUCAUCCAUUCCAAGACAUUAUAGGUCAUUUUGACUGAAACCCUAAUUUUGGGUCAACUUCCCAAGGACCUAAGUCCUUCAUUUUUCAUGAUUUGGAGGUGGGAUCAAAUGAAUUGGAAAGCUUAAUGUUUGUAAUUCAAAUGUUAUGUUGAGAAAAAUUACAAAAUCCCAAAAGAAAUACAUGUGAUAAUGCAAAACAUUAUAGGUCACUUUGGGCCAACUGCAUUGAAAUGUGAAAAAGUCCAACUUCAAGUGCCCAUAACUUCAUCAAAAAUCCAAAUGAUGCAAAAUUUAAGUCCAAAUUUAUUUUCUUGAAAAUAUCUACAACUUUCAUGUUGAAGAUUGUAUUAUUUGGAGCUUGCAUCAUUGAGACAGAGGGGCUUGAACAUUGGCCAAUUUUGGAAAUUUCACAUAUGCAUGUUUUGCACCUUACACUUCAAGCUUAAUUUUCAUUAAUUUCCAAGGCCCAAUUGGAUUUUUGAUCAACAUAGCAUUUGUUCCUUAUGCAAUAAGCUUUCCAACCAUUACCCAUAAGCCUAUGUUUCAAUUUUGGAAGUAUUAUUUUCGAAGAGGAGAACUUUUUAGUGCAUUUUUGGAAACUUGAUUCAAUUGCCAUGCAUGAGCUCACACAACCUAAUUUGCACGUCCAUUUCAUUCAUUUAUGAUAUAAGCCUGCAAUUCCAAUCAGAAUUGGGCCCUCCAUGCGCCUGUACAGGCCCAUGCAUGAAGGCCCUCUUCUCCGAUGCACACUUUGUUCAUGCAUAUCAGUUGGCUUUGGCUAUAAAUACAUGGCAUGUGAGCUCUUAUUUCUUAACCUGAAGGCACCUGAACCUCUGCUGAACUCAAAACCUACCCUCACCAAAGGAACUUUUCUCUUUCUUUCAAAAAUAUCAGAUCUGAAAUUCAAUUGCAUCGAUUGAUUUUUAAGAUCCAUAGUUCCUAGACCUCUUCAGCUUGAUCCAUAGAAGCUUCUGUUUGCAAAAGAACUCAAAGAUAGUGACUCAAUUCAGCUCAAUUCCAAGGUUUUGCUCAACUGCAUUUUGCUUCAAAACAGCUCAUAUAUUGUUCCAUUUGCCUUGAUUUUGUGUGAUUUGAAGUCCUCUGCAUAGAGGCAUCAUUAUUGUGUUCUUAAUUUUUGAAAUCAAGCAAGUUCAGUUGAACACCACCAAAGUUCCAUCUCUGAUUUCUCUCUCAAUAGGGAUCUAGAGUGGAAUUGAGUAAUAGAGGCAUCAUUAUUGUGUUCUUAAUUUUUGAAAUCAAGCAAGUUCAGUUGAACACCACCAAAGUUCCAUCUCUGAUUUCUCUCUCAAUAGGGAUCUAGAGUGGAAUUGAGUGGCAUAGGAGUGACGUACAUCACUCCACCUUUCAUUUGGUACCUGGAUCGUGCGUUUUGGUGCACAUUUGUUCUUCUACAAAUUUGAGCUCUCACCGGAGCUAUCCGGAGAAGACGGUGGCGCUGACCCCUGUCUGGUCUCCAGAUCCAAUCGUGGUCGUCCAUUUUCAUUUCCAGAUUAGAUUUAGGUUGUCCGAUGUUAUGACCAUUUUUAAUUGUUUGUGUGGUUGCAUUGACUCACGUGUAUUAUGGAAGCGUGCUCAGAUCCGUCUGAUCUGCCAGGUCAAUUAAUGAACUGGAUCCAACGCCUCUCCUUUUUUCUUAUUUUUAAUUUCUGAUUUCUAUUUUCUUUUAUUUCUUUUAAUUCCAUUUUAUUUCUAAAAUCCAUAUCUCUUUCAUUAUUGGUCCAAAAAUUAUGGGACCAAUUGCAUUAUUUCUCUUUUAAUUUCUAGUUUCUAAAAAUGAUUUUUAAUAUUUUUUAUUUUGUCAUUUGCUAUUUUUUAAUAAUUUUCUCUUUUCUGGUUAUUUUUAAUUCAUUUUAAAUAGUUUUUCAGAUCCAAAAAAUACCAAAAUAUUUUCUCAACCUCUUUGAACGAUGAUAGAUCUAUGAAAAAUAUUUUCAUCAAUUUAUUAAUUGAUUUGAGAUUUAUUUGAGAUUUUAGUUCAAUUAGGUUAUUUUUAUGCAUUUUUAAUUGAUCAAAAAUAGUUUCUGACUUUUAUAAAUGUUGAAAUUUUUUGUCAAACUUUUUUUGACCUUGUUGAACUUAGGAUAAUUCACUUGGACUUUUCAAAGUUGAUUUGAAGUGAGUUUGAAGUUUGACCUUUCUUUAAUAUUUUAAUUCAAGUUUUAUUUUAAAUAUUAAAAAAUGCCAAAAAUAUUUUGUUUAUUUCUUGACUUCUAAUCUUCAUUUUGCUUCUGUUUUCUAUUGUUUGACCUUGAUCUUCUCUAUCUUUGGUCAUAGCUUGUUGAUUAUCUCAUUCCAUUUCAUUUAAUGCACUUUAAUUCUUCAUGUCUAUUCUUNAGAUUGUUGGCGAACACUUGCCUACGUACCUCUUAAACAAGAUUAGGAUCAAAACCGUCUGUAGUUGGCGUAAAAAUUCAAAAUUGAGUUGGUGAAUUGAUUUGGUCCGAAAGCACUUAAAGGUACUUUUUGUGUUGAUCCAAGGGAGAAAAACUCAAACCUAAAACACAACCCACCAUGUGCAGGAUUAGCUUAACAUGUUAUGAGGGGGUUUAACCCUAUACGAUAAGCAUGGAAGACACAUUGUCCAUCACUAAGGAUAUAGGUGAGUAUUACGAGUCCUAACCUCAAAGCAUAACUCAAGAGCCUGAAUACGCUAAAGGUUUAAAAGAUUUAAUUAAGAAAGUGGCCAUUGAAACCACAAAAGUAUUUGAAUGAUGGUAUUUACGCAAAUGAAUAAGAUAUUUGACAAAAUAUGGUCAAAGGUGAUUUAGAAGUUCAAUUCAAAAAUAAGUGUUAUGAAAAAAGUUUGGGAAAAUCAAAAAAAGCCAUAAGGCUUAGGUUUCCUAAAUGUUGAAAACAAGGUUAAAUGUUGCAAACAAAAGUUUUGGUUUGGGUUUAGAAGGGAGAAGAAGAAUGAAUGGCAAAGUCCUAAUCAUACAUGAAGAGACAAGGGAUAAGAAAACAAGACCAACAAAUGGAGUUCCCUCUCUUUGACGAUCGAUAUUGAUGAAAUCAAGUAGCUCCCAUCUUGGAAUAUGCAAGCAAAAAUUUAAUAGUCGCUCAAGCAAUCAACACAUCAAACAAGCUCCUUAGGCGAAUCCUCAAUGUAUCUGGUUGUAUCUUUCACUUGGAUGAACAUUGGCAAUGGUUCCUUUUAACUCUUGAGCUCUCAUAGGAUCCCCUAGCACAAAAAGCACACACAUCAAAAAGUUCUAUGAAAGUAAAUCAAGAAUGGAACAAGAGUGUUGAGUUUGGGUCCUUCUAGUCCAUCUCAACAUUAAAGGUCCUUGUUACUCCAAUUUGCCAUAGGAAAGUUCUAGAAACUAAGUCGCAUUUGUCCAUAUUCUUUGCAUUUGGUCCACAAACAAUCAAAACAAAAACACAAGCACAAUUAAUUAUACUACACAAUUACGUGUGCUCAAAGUGAGCAAGAAGCAAUUGCAUUAAACAUACAUGUGCUAAAUGAGCAGAAGGGAAAAGAAAUGAUAUAUGUAAGAUAUAGUUAAAUUGAUAAAGUAAGUGCAAGAGUAAAUGUUAAUGGUUAAUUGUUAGUGUUAGUAGUUCAGGUGUCAUAGGCAUUUAAGCGCUAUGUUAAGCAAAUCGUAAUGGAGUUAUUGUGAAGUCACACUAUCUGAGGCGGUUAAUAGUAUAUUUAUGGCAACACAACAAGGUUAGAGGUCUUGAUUGUGAAUCAACACUCUACAACUUGCCAUGGCGCAGAAAGAAGAUGAGAAUGAUCUUGUUUGGUUUAGGUCCUUUUGCAUGUUUUAGAAAGCAAUCUUCCGUUAAUGGAAAGCCAUUCACUUUGAUCAUGUGAUCAAGUGAUUAGAUUUGAAUUCAAGGAAGAUUAAAACCUCCCUAUCAAUGCUAACCAUCGAACCUUUAACUCAUUGAUAAAAAAAGAAAAGAAGAAGAGAAGAAGAUGAAGAAAGUGAAAGAUAGCAUGAAGAAUUAAAGUGCAGCUUAAAUGAUCUCUUGUAUGAUUAGGACUUUAGCCAUUCUUCUUCUUCCCUCCACUCUAACCCAAACCAAAACUUUUGUGCAAACAUUUAACACUUGUUUUCAAACAUUAGAAACCUAAGCCUUAUGCUUUUGAUUUCCAAACUUUCUUUUCAUAACACUUAUUUUGAAUUGAACUUCUAAAUCAACUUUGACCAUAUUUUGUAAAUACUUUUCAUUGGUAAAUACCAUUCAUUCAAAUACUUUUGUGGUUUCAAUGGCCACUUUCUUAAUUAAAUCUUUUAUAACCUUUAGCUAUUAGGUUUGAGUUAUGCUUGAGGUAGAUGUAAUACUCACCUAUAUCCUUAGUGAUGGACAAUGAGUCUUCCAUGCUUAUUAUAGGGUUAACCCCUCACUAACAUGUUGAAGCUAUCCUCACAUGGUGGGUUUGUGGUUUUAGGUUGAGUUUUCUCCCUUGGAUAACAAAAGACCUUAAGGCUUUUGGACCAAUCAAUUCACCAACUCAUUUUUUGAAAUUUUUACCCCAAACUACGAGGUUUUGAUCCUAAUCUUUUUUAAGAUGGUACGUAGGCAAUGGGUUUAUCCAUCCAAACACAAAAAUGUAAAUAACUUGCAUAUUCUCUUCUCAUCUCUUCAAUCAUGUUUGCACAAACAAAUUUUCACAAAAUACCAACCUUACAACAAGUGUGAAAAGGGCUCCCUAGGAGUACCUAGGAUGUUUUGGGUGCUUAAAACCUUCCCAUUGCAUAACCAACCCCCUUACCCCGAUCUCUGACAUUUUUACUAGUUUUUAAUUCGAUAAAAUUUUUAGGUUUUUAUUCGCUUUCUAACCAUUCCUUUGAAUAAAUAGAAGUGCGGUGGCGACUCGACUUGUAUGGUUUACCUUAGAUUUAGUCAAUAUCUCUAAUGGUAACGAAUACCCCACUACAAUAAUAAUUAAGGUGUUUUGAAUGGAUGACGAUUACUCGGAUAAUCGAGUAAGACAACUCGUAUCCUAAUGGUCGGAAAAGGGAAUAGAAAACUCUAGACCACUUUCUCUUUCAUCUGAGUGGUUAUGAAAAUAAGUUUACGUAUGGUUGAUGUAUUUUUAGAAUAGACGACAAGUACUUGAAUGGUUGAGUAAGACAACUCAUAUCCAAGCAUUUGAGGAGAGGAAUCUAAGGCUCAAGACCAUCUCCCUUUUCGUAUAGUUUGUUAUGAAAAUGAUUUGAUUAAGUUGUAUGUUUGUGGAAAAAUGACAAUUGCUCGACUGGCCGAGUAAGAGAACUCGUAUUCAAGCAAUUGAGGAGAAAAGUUGAAAACUCAAAGUCAUCUCCCUUUUCAUUUCUUAUUAUGAAAAUAAUUUGAUUUAGUCGGGUUUGGAAGUUUGUAGAGGAACGACAAUUAUUUGACUAACCAAGUAAGAGAACUCGUAUUCAAAUAAUCGAGGAGAAAAAUUGAAGACUCAAAGUCAUCUCCCUUUUCCUUUCUUAUUAUAAAAGAGUUUGAUUUAUUUGUUCUUAAGUGGGUGGAAGUGACGACUAUUUGACUAACCGAAUAAGAGAACUCGUAUUCAAAUAAUCGAGGAGAGGAAUUGAAAACUCAAAGCCACCCCCCUUUUCAUUUCCAAAUGAAAUGUUGUUUGAUUGUGAUUGGAUACGUUCUUUUAAUUUUUAAUGAAAAUACUCGACAUUGGAUUGAGGUUUUGAUUUUGUGUUUAUGAAUGAAAUGAAUUUUAUUUUAGUGUAUUAUUCUUCUACUCGAUUAAUUAAUAACUGGAUAGGUCUCAUUGUAAGAAAGCCCAAGAGUAAGCUAUGUGAGGUUGAUGGCGAUACUUUUACAAGUAAUCGACUUACAAAGGCGUUUUGAAAAUGGGCUCGACUUUGAAUCGAGAAGUAUGUGUUUUAUUUUUUUGAAAUUGGCUCGAAUGAUUUUAAAUUGGUGAUAACGACAUAAUCUCGUCAUAAUUAUAACAUGUCAUCCAUAUGCACUCGAGACUCGGUAUAAAUAAAUAAAUACAAAAUAAUCAUGCACAUACACUCCACAAAAAUCAACAAUUAUCUAAAUUAUAAGUGAUAUUAAUAAUAAUAUAAUUAAUUAAUUAAAUAUUUAGUAGAUUAUUUUGAUUAAAUAAUAAGUAAUUAAAAAAAUGAUGAUAUAACCAAAUAAUUGCAUAUUUAUCAUUAAAUAUUAAUAAUAGUAAUAACAAUAUAAUUGUGUAUUUACUAUUAAGUACUAAUAAUAAUAAUGAUAAUAAUAAUAAUAAUAUAUAAUUAUAACUUUGAAAGAAAGUAAAUAAAAUAAAAUAAAUGAAAUUAAAGUAAAAAAAUAUUUAAAUUUUGUAAAAUAAUUAAACAACUAUCAUUAGGAAUUAAACUAUUAUAUAUAUAUAUAUAUAUAUAUAUAUAUAUAUAUAUAUAUAUAUAUAUUAUAAGUAUAUAUGUAAAAAAUAUAAAUAAAAAAGAAAGAAUAAGUCAAAAAAUAAAGAAAAUGGGCUAGUGGUGGUGAAAAAUUAAUAAAAUAAUUUAAUCAAAUUAAAUCAAAGAUACCGAUGAAUUAAUUUAAAUAAAAUAGGGUCUACUUAGGAUAUUUAAGUAAUUUAGAUUAACAAAAAUAAUUCAGGAUAAUGAGUCAUUAAAUUAAAAAAAUUAGUAAAUUGAAUUGUUAGUUAACUAAUUGAAGCUAAUUGUUAGCUAACAUGAUUAUCUUUUAAAUCCUCCACACAGUAAAACAGAAGAAAAAGAAAUGGGCUAAAACCGAAUUUAAUGAAAAAUAGGAAUAAACAAAUGUGCUUUUUUUGACUGAACAUAUGCUAUAUUCUAAUAUGCAAUGUCACCUAGUAUUCAAAGUUAAUUUAUUGUUUUUUAUUAAUGAUGCAUUGAAUAAAAUAACAAAUAGGGGUGGCUGUCAGCAUAGCCCACACGGUAUCCCCAAGAAAAAUCAAUUACUCACCAUAAGAACCUUCCAUAUACUAACAUAUGACACCUAAUGAUGUUUAAAGAGAAAUAAACAAUAAUAAAUGAAAAUUAAAGUAAUGCUUGGAUAUUUUAAAAAACGUAAGGACGAAAAACGUUCCUUCACAAAACCAAUGCACCUCUUUCUUAAUCUAACACCCUUUCCUCCUAUCCAUUUCUUCUCUCCAAAAGGGUUUAUGAAAAAAAAGUUCAGUUCACCAUCAAGUUUAUCGCACAACAAAAAUAUUCAAACACAAAGAUCUACCUCAAACGAUACAAAACCCCAAAUCUCAAAAUUAGCAACGAAAUUUUGCAAACAAAAGUUUAUCGCACAACAAAAAUAUUCAAACACAAAGAUCUACCUCAAACGAUACAAAACCCCAAAUCUCAAAAUUAGCAACGAAAUUUUGCAAACAACCUCCAAAAGACCCAAAUCGUGACUUUACAAAAAAAAAACUAAAAAUUGAAACAAAUCGAACCAUCAUCAUCAAUAAAUUCAAGCAAUCUAAAGGAGGCUCCUACUCAGUUAAUCACGACAAACAUGCAGGCACAAUCAAUUUGGAUCCAAACAUGAAGAAAUUUACCUGACCGAAGCUAGUUCAACGAAGUUCUCUCCGGCAACCCUCAGAUAACUCUAUUUCCUCUUCUUUUCGGUUUUACGAUGGCCUCCUCCUUCUGUUUUGAUGUUGUGUUAUCCUUUAAUGUUAGGGUUUUUUGUGUUUUUUACAAAAUAUUUUUUGAUUUGUUCUGCUCGGAUCCUCAAAAACGUGUGUUCUGUUUCUUUUGAGUUAACAAAGAAAAGAUUACUUUGACAAUUUCUUCUGGAUUUUAUUAAAACGUGUUACUGUUAAUUAGUUUUGUGGUUUAUAUACAUGAAUGUUGGUUUAUGUGAUAUAACUUGUUGGAUCCUAUUUCCAGAUUUUGUGGUAUGAUUAAUCUAUGGAUUUAAAGUUGUUUAUUUGGAUAAUGCAGUGUGUUUCUGAGCGCUUCCUUUGAUUCAUUGUGUAACAUAUUAAUUUGCUCUUUCUAUUAAUUAUUUUCCAGGUUUUUAAGUGCUUAUUUGAUAAGAUGUUUUUAAUUUUGAAUUGGUUUUGCAGGUUAAGUGAUAUUGAUGCUGAUUGAUUGAAAAAGGGGCGCUGUUAUUCAACAGGUUUUGGAAAAGUUCUGAAGAGUUGCUUUUGAAUUGGGAACUUCCAAAAGAGCUUUUGGAAAAGUCUGUGAAAUUUGCUUCAAACUGCUGUGUUUACAGCUUAUUCCAAUUUUUUUAAUAAAAUUAUUUCUGAUGUAACAGAGACUUUUUGGAUUAUGAACUUAGGGACUGCUUGUAACAUGUACAAAUUUAAUUUGGAAUUUCUCUUUUUGGACAAUUAUGUAAUUGUUUUGGAUUAUUAGGAAUUUGGGAUUAGUUAGGAUAUAUUAAACUGUAAGAAAAAUUGGGUUAGACGUGUAACCCUUUGGAUCAUUUGCAAAAUUUACAUAAUUUUAAUUUAAGUUUUUUUGUUAUUUAUGUGGAUACUUUUGGGUUAUUAUGUAACAUUUGGAUUAAAUAGGAAUAUGAUUUGGGAAUAUUAUUUGUGUAAUUAGUCUCUCUUUCUUUUUUUUUUAAAGAAAAAUUAAACUUUGUCUUAAC
rnacentral:lncRNA from 1 species